rnacentral:snoRNA from 1 species
UUGCAUGAUGAGAGAAUCUUAAUUAGCUCUAGAUCAGAAGCCACAACUUUUUGUGGCGGUGAUUGAUUCAUUUGCAUGUAUUAUCUGACCC